AGAGUUUGAUCAUGGCUCAGGACGAACGCUGGCGGCACGCUUAACACAUGCAAGUCGAACGAGAGAAGAGGAGCUUGCUUUUCUGAUCUAGUGGCGGACGGGUGAGUAACACGUGAGCAAUCUGCCUUUCAGAGGGGGAUACCGAUUGGAAACGAUCGUUAGUACCGCAUAACAUAAUUGAACCGCAUGAUUUGAUUAUCAAAGAUUUAUCGCUGAAAGAUGAGCUCGCGUCUGAUUAGCUAGUUGGUAAGGUAACGGCUUACCAAGGCGACGAUCAGUAGCCGGACUGAGAGGUUGAUCGGCCACAUUGGGACUGAGACACGGCCCAGACUCCUACGGGAGGCAGCAGUGGGGAAUAUUGCACAAUGGAGGAAACUCUGAUGCAGCGAUGCCGCGUGAGGGAAGAAGGUUUUAGGAUUGUAAACCUCUGUCUUCAGGGACGAAAAAAGACGGUACCUGAGGAGGAAGCUCCGGCUAACUACGUGCCAGCAGCCGCGGUAAUACGUAGGGAGCGAGCGUUGUCCGGAAUUACUGGGUGUAAAGGGAGCGUAGGCGGGAUCGCAAGUCAGAUGUGAAAACUAUGGGCUUAACCCAUAAACUGCAUUUGAAACUGUGGUUCUUGAGUGAAGUAGAGGUAAGCGGAAUUCCUAGUGUAGCGGUGAAAUGCGUAGAUAUUAGGAGGAACAUCAGUGGCGAAGGCGGCUUACUGGGCUUUAACUGACGCUGAGGCUCGAAAGCGUGGGGAGCAAACAGGAUUAGAUACCCUGGUAGUCCACGCCGUAAACGAUGAUUACUAGGUGUGGGGGGACUGACCCCUUCCGUGCCGCAGCAAACGCAAUAAGUAAUCCACCUGGGGAGUACGACCGCAAGGUUGAAACUCAAAGGAAUUGACGGGGGCCCGCACAAGCAGUGGAGUAUGUGGAUUAAUUCGAAGCAACGCGAAGAACCUUACCAGGUCUUGACAUCGUAUGCAUAGCUCAGAGAUGAGUGAAAUCUCUUCGGAGACAUAUAGACAGGUGGUGCAUGGUUGUCGUCAGCUCGUGUCGUGAGAUGUUGGGUUAAGUCCCGCAACGAGCGCAACCCUUACUGUUAGUUGCUACGCAAGAGCACUCUAGCAGGACUGCCGUUGACAAAACGGAGGAAGGUGGGGAUGACGUCAAAUCAUCAUGCCCCUUAUGACCUGGGCCUCACACGUACUACAAUGGCUGUCAACAGAGGGAAGCAAAGCCGCGAGGUGGAGCGAACCCCUAAAAGCAGUCUUAGUUCGGAUUGUAGGCUGCAACCCGCCUACAUGAAGUCGGAAUUGCUAGUAAUCGCAGAUCAGCAUGCUGCGGUGAAUACGUUCCCGGGCCUUGUACACACCGCCCGUCACGCCAUGGGAGUCGGUAACACCCGAAGCCUGUAGUCUAACCGCAAGGAGGACGCAGUCGAAGGUGGGAUUGAUGACUGGGGUGAAGUCGUAACAAGGUA
rnacentral:rRNA from 1 species